rnacentral:rRNA from 1 species
GCGCCCCGCAAGGGGAGCGGCAGACGGGAGAGUAAUACGUGGGAACGUACCCUUCAGUUCGGAACAACCCAGGGAAACUUGGGCCAAUACCGGAUACGUCCGAAAGGAGAAAGAUUUAUCGCUGAAGGAUCGGCCCACGUCUGAUUAGCUAGUUGGUGAGGUAACGGCUCACCAAGGCGACGAUCAGUAGCUGGUCUGAGAGGAUGAUCAGCCUCACUGGGACUGAGACACGGCCCAGACUCCUACGGGAGGCAGCAGUGGGGAAUAUUGGACAAUGGGCGCAAGCCUGAUCCAGCCAUGCCGCGUGGGUGAUGAAGGCCCUAGGGUUGUAAAGCCCUUUCGGCGGGGAAGAUAAUGACGGUACCCGCAGAAGAAGCCCCGGCUAACUUCGUGCCAGCAGCCGCGGUAAUACGAAGGGGGCUAGCGUUGCUCGGAAUCACUGGGCGUAAAGCGCACGUAGGCGGACUUUUAAGUCGGUGGUGAAAUCCUGGAGCUCACUCCAGAACUGCUCCGAUACUGAGAGUCUUCGAGUCCGGGAGAGGUGAGUGGACUGCGAGUGUAGAGGUGACAUUCGUAGAUAUUCGAAGAACCACCAGUGGCGAAGGCGGUUCACUGGCCCGGUACUGACGCUGAGGUGCGAAAGCGUUGGGGGAGCAAACA